CAGCUGACAGAAUUGAUUUAUUCAUUUGUUGGAUUUGAAAUGCCAGAUAAUAGGAUUGGAAAAAAUGUGAGUGAAAAAAAGUGGGACGCUUUCGUCUUCUGGAAGCAGCAGCGAUCCUUGUUAGUUGCAACCUGUGCCACAGCGCUACAGCCAUGCACAGUAGGCGUCUUUCUGUUACCAUGGCAAUGACGUCUUCCGUUUUCCGGUGAGGCGACAGGGUGUCCCAUUCCUGACGAUCGCAUUUAUACCCUCCCCCUUCAAUAAUAGGUGCCCGCCACAGCUGCGAGUGUGACUUCUUUUGGAGUGACACUCGGUAGUGGAGGGGGAGUGUGUAGGGCGCGGUUUGGGAUUCAGCCCCGGAGUUACGCGCGUGCACCGCAAGUCUGAAAAGACAGCAUCAAUGGAACCCCGAUUCGACGAGUCACCAUGGAAACGGGGAAGCGAAAGGCUGCGUUUUUGAACUGGAAGUUUUUAACGCGCUCAUAUGGCGAGUUUGAACACGUUUUUAGAAAGAAGUGCAACACCGCUGCAGCUGCAAAAGAGAGAGAGACGGCGUAGAGAACACUGCUGCCCGUAUCAAUGCGAUGAAGAGGAUGAAACUGUGUCUGCUGCCUUUACAGAGGGGGAUCCAGACAGGCAUAUAGAGAGCAUGGCUGGACAGCAGCAGGAUGGUCCCUCAUCUUCCACUGCACAGACUGACACAGUGAGAUGGAUGUUCAGGAAACACCAGAGGUUCAUUCUGUGGAAUUCAUGUGCAACUGUAUAACUGAAUGUCCUCUAUGUAUUCCCAGUUAUCAGUAAAACGGAUUUACAAACUGCAUUUGCUGAGAAAAAUCCAAAAAACAGAUUAGGAGGGCAGAUCUGGAAAUUGAAAGACUGGAGCACAAGUUAGAGGUGGUGAUGGUCACAGGUGAAUUAUGUUAACUACUGGAACAUGAACUGAACUAUCUGUUUUAUUUGUAGGAAAUAAAGAAGAGCAAAUGAAA